GACGAACGCUGGCGGCGUGCCUAAUACAUGCAAGUAGGACGCAGUUGCGAACGGGUGAGUAACGCGUAGGUAACUACCUAUUAGCGGGGGAUAACUAUUAGAAACGAUAGCUAAUACCGCAUACUAGUAGAUGGACCUUCGUUUGAUUAGCUAGUAGGUAGGGUAAUGGCCUACCUAGGCAACGAUACAUAGCCGACCUGAGAAGGUGGUCGGCCACAAGUGGACUGGUGCACCGCCCAGACUCCCUAGGGAGGCAGCAGGAGGGAAUCAUCGGAAAUGGGGCGAAACCUGACCGAGCAACGCCGCGUGAGUGAAGGAGGUUUUCCGGUCGUAAAGCUCUGUUGUUAAGGAAGCGGUACUUAACCAGAAAGGGACGGCUAACUACGUGCCAGCAGCCGCGGUAAUUC
rnacentral:rRNA from 1 species